rnacentral:tRNA from 1 species
GUGGGUAUAGCUUAGUGGUAGAGCAUUUGACUGCAAAUUAUCAUUUAGAUUAAUGUGCUUAUA